rnacentral:rRNA from 1 species
AUUGAACGCUGGCGGCAUGCCUUACACAUGCAAGUCGAACGGUAACAGGUUAAGCUGACGAGUGGCGAACGGGUGAGUAAUAUAUCGGAACGUGCCCAGUCGUGGGGGAUAACUGCUCGAAAGAGCAGCUAAUACCGCAUACGACCUGAGGGUGAAAGCGGGGGAUCGCAAGACCUCGCGCGAUUGGAGCGGCCGAUAUCAGAUUAGCUAGUUGGCGGGGUAAAAGCCCACCAAGGCAACGAUCUGUAGCUGGUCUGAGAGGACGACGAGCCACACUGGGACUGAGAAACGGCCCAGACUCCUACGGGAGGCAGCAGUGGUGAAUUUUGGACAAUGGACGCAAGUCUGAUCCAGCCAUGCCGCGUGCGGGAAGAAGGCCUUCGGGUUGUAAACCGCUUUUGUCAGGGAAGAAAAGGUUCUGGUUAAUACCUGGGACUCAUGACGGUACCUGAAGAAUAAGCACCGGCUAACUACGUGCCAGCCGCCGCCGUAAAAC